rnacentral:rRNA from 1 species
UACGGAGGGGGCGAGCGUUAUUCGGAAUUAUUGGGCGUAAAGGGCGCGUAGGCGGCCCGGUAAGUCAAAGGUGAAAUCCCUCGGCUCAACUGAGGAACUGCCUUUGAAACUGUCGGGCUUGAGGCCGGGAGGGGGUAGCGGAAUUCCCAGUGUAGCGGUGAAAUGCGUAGAUAUCGGGAAGAACACCCGGGGCGAAGGCGGUUCUCUGGGACGGUACUGACGCUGAGACGCGAAAGCGUGGGGAGCGAACAGG